rnacentral:rRNA from 1 species
UACGUAGGCAGCAAGCGUUGUUCGGAGUUACUGGGCGUAAAGGGUGCGUAGGCGGCUUUUUAAGUUUGGUGUGAAAUCUCCCGGCUCAACUGGGAGGGUGCGCCGAAUACUGAGAGGCUAGAGUGCGGGAGAGGAUAGUGGAAUUCCUGGUGUAGCGGUGAAAUGCGUAGAUAUCAGGAGGAACACCGGUGGUGUAGACGGCUUUCUGGACCGUAACUGACGCUGAGACACGAAAGCGUGGGUAGCAAACAGG